rnacentral:rRNA from 1 species
AAAUGAAUAGACGGGGGCCCGCACAAGCAGCGGAGCAUGUGGCUUAAUUCGAAGCAACGCGAAGAACCUUACCUGGGCUUGACGUGCCGGGAAAAGCCGGGGAGACCCGGUGUGCGGAAGCGCCCGGCGCAGGUGGUGCAUGGCUGUCGUCAGCUCGUGCCGUGAGGUGUUGGGUUAAGUCCCGCAACGAGCGCAACCCCCGCCGCGUGUUGCCAUCAGGUCAAGCUGGGCACCCGCGCGGGACCGCCGGGGCCAACCCGGAGGAAGGUGGGGACGACGUCAAGUCAUCAUGCCCCUCACGCCCAGGGCUGCACACGUGCUACAAUGGCCGGCACAGCGGGUUGCGACCUGGCGACAGGAAGCGGAUCCCCCAAAGCCGGCCCCAGUUCGGACCGGGGGCUGCAACCCGCCCCCGCGAAGUCGGAGUUGCUAGUAAUCGCGGAUCAGCACGCCGCGGUGAAUGCGUUCCCGGGCCUUGUACACACCGCCCGU